UCGAACGGCAGCGCGGGGCAACCUGGCGGCGAGUGGCGAACGGGUGAGUAAUAUAUCGGAACGUGCCCUGGAGUGGGGGAUAACGCAGCGAAAGUUGCGCUAAUACCGCAUACGAUCUAAGGAUGAAAGCGGGGGAUUCGCAAGAACCUCGUGCUCCUGGAGCGGCCGAUAUCUGAUUAGCUAGUUGGUGGGGUAAAGGCCUACCAAGGCAUCGAUCAGUAGCUGGUCUGAGAGGACGACCAGCCACACUGGAACUGAGACACGGUCCAGACUCCUACGGGAGGCAGCAGUGGGGAAUUUUGGACAAUGGGCGAAAGCCUGAUCCAGCAAUGCCGCGUGAGUGAAGAAGGCCUUCGGGUUGUAAAGCUCUUUUGUCAGGGAAGAAACGGUGCGGGCUAAUAUCCCGCACUAAUGACGGUACCUGAAGAAUAAGCACCGGCUAACUACGUGCCAGCAGCCGCGGUAAUACGUAGGGUGCAAGCGUUAAUCGGAAUUACUGGGCGUAAAGCGUGCGCAGGCGGUUUUGUAAGUCUGUCGUGAAAUCCCCGGGCUCAACCUGGGAAUUGCGAUGGAGACUGCAAGGCUAGAAUCUGGCAGAGGGGGGUAGAAUUCCACGUGUAGCAGUGAAAUGCGUAGAGAUGUGGAGGAACACCGAUGGCGAAGGCAGCCCCCUGGGUCAAGAUUGACGCUCAUGCACGAAAGCGUGGGGAGCAAACAGGAUUAGAUACCCUGGUAGUCCACGCCCUAAACGAUGUCUACUAGUUGUCGGGUUUUAAUUAACUUGGUAACGCAGCUAACGCGUGAAGUAGACCGCCUGGGGAGUACGGUCGCAAGAUUAAAACUCAAAGGAAUUGACGGGGACCCGCACAAGCGGNGGAUGAUGUGGAUUAAUUCGAUGCAACGCGAAAAACCUUACCUAUCCUUGAC
rnacentral:rRNA from 1 species